GUGCUCACUUUGGCAGCCCAUAUACUAAAACUGGAGCAAUACGGAGAAGAUUAGCAUGGCCCCUGCGUAAGGAUGACACACAAAUUCAUGAAGGUUCCAUAUUUUU
ensembl:snRNA U6 U6 spliceosomal RNA